UACUCGAGUGGCGAACGGGUGAGUAACACGUGGGUGAUCUGCCCUGCACUUCGGGAUAAGCUUGGGAAACUGGGUCUAAUACCGGAUAGGAGCCAUCUUUAGUGUGGUGGUCGGAAAGUUUUUUCGGUGUAGGAUGAGCUCGCGGCCUAUCAGCUUGUUGGUGGGGUAAUGGCCUACCAAGGCGGCGACGGGUAGCCGGCCUGAGAGGGUGUACGGCCACAUUGGGACUGAGAUACGGCCCAG
rnacentral:rRNA from 1 species